CCUGCCCAAGAGACUGGGAUAACACCUGGAAACAGAUGCUAAUACCGGAUAACAACACUAGACGCAUGUCUAGAGUUUAAAAGAUGGUUCUGCUAUCACUCUUGGAUGGACCUGCGGUGCAUUAGCUAGUUGGUAAGGUAACGGCUUACCAAGGCAAUGAUGCAUAGCCGAGUUGAGAGACUGAUCGGCCACAUUGGGACUGAGACACGGCCCAAACUCCUACGGGAGGCAGCAGUAGGGAAUCUUCCACAAUGGACGCAAGUCUGAUGGAGCAACGCCGCGUGAGUGAAGAAGGGUUUCGGCUCGUAAAGCUCUGUUGGUAGUGAAGAAAGAUAGAGGUAGUAACUGGCCUUUAUUUGACGGUAAUUACUUAGAAAGUCACGGCUAACUACGUGCCAGCAGCCGCGGUAAUACGUAGGUGGCAAGCGUUGUCCGGAUUUAUUGGGCGUAAAGCGAGUGCAGGCGGUUCAAUAAGUCUGAUGUGAAAGCCUUCGGCUCAACCGGAGAAUUGCAUCAGAAACUGUUGAACUUGAGUGCAGAAGAGGAGAGUGGACUCCAUGUGUAGCGGUGGAAUGCGUAGAUAUAUGGAAGAACACCAGUGGCGAAGGCGGCUCUCUGGUCUGCAACUGACGCUGAGGCUCGAA
rnacentral:rRNA from 1 species